rnacentral:rRNA from 1 species
GGUCAAGUUAUUAAGGGUGCAGGGCGGAUGCCUUGGCACUAGGAGCCGAUGAAGGACGUGAUAAGCUGCGAUAAGCUUCGGGGAGUUGCACGUAAACUUUGAUCCGAAGAUUUCCGAAUGAGGAAACUCACUUAGAGUAAUGUCUAAGUAUCAUUAAGUGAAUACAUAGCUUAAUGAGGGGAACUCAGGGAACUGAAACAUCUAAGUACCUGAAGGAAGAGAAAGAAAUUCGAUUCCGUAAGUAGCGGCGAGCGAACGCGGAUUAGCCCAAACCAAUAAAGUUUUCUUUAUUGGGGUUGCGGACAUAUCAUAACGAAGAGGUAUCGUAAUUGAAGAGGUUUGG